rnacentral:sRNA from 1 species
AGAUAAUUAAUGCAGGUGCUGUUUACCUAGCAUCAUCUUACCUUGGCUCAUGGUGACCCAAACCUCCGUGUAAAAUGAGAAAUCUUUCUACAGUCCAACUUACUUCCUAUGAGAAAUUGAAUGUGAAGGUCACUUCCUCAGGACUACUGAAGACUUUGAAAGGGACUAUGUUGGUCUUCCCUACGGAUGGAGGGUUUCCUGCGAUCUUAACCAUUCAACUGCCUCCUUCCCUGAAAGAAUUGAGCCAAGAUUCAGAUAAGAUUCUUCAGGCAGGUGAGAAGCUUGGGAAGAUAGAUUUAUGACCUUAGUUAGGGACUUGGCCGAACACCUAUGGGAAGACACUCAGCAUAAGAAACUACAUCUUUUCUUCUAGCAACUGUGCAUACCGACCGUCGAGAUCAAAACAGGCAGGGAAUUACUGGGUAGGCCUUAGGUGUCCAUGAGAUCCUGGGAUGGCAUGAGGCUCCAGGUAGACACAGGAGACUGCUCAGAACCUAGUUUCAACCUGGGAUAUUAUUAGACAUCAGUGAGACUCUGACAGAAGAAAAGGUACCGGUUACAUCCUCCUGACAGCAUGACACCUCAAAAAUAAUUUAGAGAAGGUAAUAGUCCCCUAAAAAUACCUGGGAAAAGCUUAGGACCCUAGAAACAUCAUAGAAAUGGAACAGGUUCCAGUGAGAAACUGGAGCAGGAUUGAGUCCAAGAGAGAACCAAGGAAAACAUUCAAGUCCAAGGAGGUCCUAAGGAAGACUUUAAGCCUUAAUGAGAAUCUAAGACAGACUUUAGAUCUGAACGAAAAUCUCUGGGAAGCCAUAGCCAUGAGUGAGAAGGAGGGGAAUGAUUUCUUCCUCAGUGAGAAUGUGGAAGACAGUUAGAACCAGUGAAAAACCACAGUUUGGAUUUGGUGAGGCCUUAGGUUUCCGUGAAUACCUUUUGAAAGCCUUGGGUUGCAGUAAGAACACCGAAAGCUCUUCUAUCCCAGGGAGGUAUUGCAGAAGACUUUUAAUGCUGUGUGAUCCUGGGGACAUUCUUAGACUGACAGAGAAUCUAGGCAAGAUCUUAGAUUCAACUUUCAAAUAUUGGCAUUGGAUUCUAUGUUCUAUAUAUGGUCUCAUUGUCUUAGGAAAUUAGAGCAACAAAUUGGCUCCAAACCUGGGGAUUAGACCCUAAGCAAUUUGAGGGAAAAUUCACUUCUCCCCAAAAUAUGCAACUAGCAGUAAUGUGGAAAUGAAACACCUAGUAGGUCUAACAAGUUUCUACAGAGCUACUGAGAAGCUCCCUCCCUAAGCCCCAUUCAAACCGUGGCAACAAGAGGCAGAAACACAUCCCAGAGCUGGGACUUAGCCAGCACCAAUGUCACAGCAUGUUUGAGGUUUUUGAGCCUAAAGAAGGACCAAGGACGCUGGGGCAGGACUUCCUGUGAAGCAUCAGAGCUUAGCAUCAAGAGGUGAAAAAAAUGGCAGCCGACUUUCCAAAGGCUUCUCCCAGGUCCAGCAGGCUGAUCAGGACAGAGAAGAACCAGACCUGCUCUACAGACUGUGUACACUGCAGGCUGCUGGAGAUCGCUGCCCAUGCUGCCAUCAGCUCUGCAAACACAAGAGUUGCCUCAUAAGCCCAGAUGCUGUGGGUCCUUCUCCAGUUAGCUCCUCCCUGCCAGUGAAAGAAUUGGAGAGUACUACAGUGUCCUGAGUUGAACACUAGAGGGAGACAAAGGCACAAAAAGCUGGAAUAAGCUUCUUGUGACUUUCAAGAACUCUCUCGGAUCCAGAGGACCCACUCUGUUUGUACAGGAAGGAGCUCCCUUUGCUGAUUCAUGGGUGGUGUCUGCCAGAUGGAUGGACUGGACAGAAACUGCAGCUUGAUGUUUCCUGGACUGCUGAAGACUUUGAAAGGGACUAUGUUGGUCUUCCCUACGGAUGGAGGGUUUCCUGCGAUCUUAACCAUUCAACUGCCUCCUUCCAUGAAAUAAUUGAGCCAAGAUUCAGAUAAGAUUCUUCAGGCAGGUGAGAUGCUUGGGAAGGUAGAUUUUUGACCUUAGUUAGGAACUUGGCCGAACACCUAUGGGAAGACACUCAGCAUAAGAAACUACAUCUUUUCUUCUAGCAACUGUGCAUACCGACCGUCGAGAUCAAAACAGGCAGGGAAUUACUGGGUAGGCCUUAGGUGUCCAUGAGAUCCUGGGAUGGCAUGAGGCUCCAGGUAGACACAGGAGACUGCUCAGAACCUAGUUUCAACCUGGGAUAUUAUUAGACAUCAGUGAGACUCUGACAGAAGAAAAGGUACCAGUUACAUCCUCCUGACAGCAUGACACCUCAAUGAUAAUUUAGAGAAGGUAAUAGUCCCCUAAAAAUACCGGGGAAAAACUUUGGACCCUGGAAACAUCAUAGAAAUGGAACAGGUUCCAGUGAGACCCUGGAGCAGGAUUGAGUCCAAGAGAGAACCAAGGAAAACAUUCAAGUCCAAGGAGGUCCUAAGGAAGACUUUAAGCCUUAAUGAGAAUCUAAGACAGACUUUAGAUCCGAAGGAAAAUCUCUGGGAAGCCAUAGCCAUGAGUGAGAAGGAGGGGAAUGAUUUCUUCCUCAGUGAGAAUGUGGAAGACUGUUAGAACCAGUGAAAAAACACAGUUUGGAUUUGGUGAGGCCUUAGGUUUCUGUGAAUACCUUUUGAAAGCCUUGGGUUGCAGUAAGAACACCAAAAGCUCUUCUAUGCCAGGGAUGUAUUGGAGAAGACUUUAAACGCUGUGUGAUCCUGGGGACAUUCUUAGACCUGACAGAGAAUCUAGGCAAAACCUUAGGUUCAACUUUGCAAUAUUGUAGGACACAGAUCGAACCCUGUCAAGGCCUGAGAUCUUGUGUUUCUCAGGAAGGCCUAACAUACCAGUGUAAUCUUUCCAGAAGUUGACGACACACCGAGAAUCUCUAAGAUCCUUUCUGUUUCACAAAGAAACUAGGGAAGACAGGAGGUCUCAAUAACACUUUGAAGAAGGCCUUUAGCCACAUGGAGAUCUUUUGGAAUGUUGGACGUCGUAUUUCGAACAUGAAGAAAGCCUUCAUUCCCUGUGAAAAUCUCGGAUGGGUUCCUAGACUGCAAUAGAAGUUAAGAAAUAUAUCGGCCCACUUGAUACCCUGUGCAUAGGCUCUAGCAAGAUGCUGUGCAAGGAAUUAGGCCACAGAUACGACUUUGGAAAGCUGUAGGCCACAGGGGUAACCUGGGAAUUCUUGUGGGCCUUGGACCAUAGGCUUCAUUGUGUCUUUGGAGGGAGGUCUUAAAGCAUACGUAGUGUUCCCAUUUAAAUUAUCCAGUCCUGCUUUUUGUAUUGUGAUGCUAAUUCUGCCCCCAGACAGCAGACCACAAAAUACCCAGGUGAUUUCAUGGGAACCGUCUUCCUAUAUUAACCUGUCAAUAAAUCUAGAGCUUCUGAUCGGAGACUAGAAGGGAAAGGUGAGACUGGAGGUUUGACGGUGGUAGCAGCUGGAGAGAGGGAAGGGCAAAAAAUCAAGGAGAGCGGCCUGUAGAGGAGGAGCUGAGAUCGACCUGAUUGCAUUGGAUUCUAUGUUCUAUAUAUGGUCUCAUUGGCUUUGGAAAUUAGAGCAACAAAUUGGCUCCAAACCUGGGGAUUAGAACCCAAGCAACUUGAGGGAAAAUUCACUCCUCCCCACUAUAGGCAAGUAGGGCUGGGCUGUAAAGUUGCCUUGGGGUGAAAAUGAAACACCUAGUGGGUCUACAAGGUUCUAUACAUCUACUGAGAAUCUCCCUCCCUAAGCCCCAUUUAGACCAUGACAGUAACCCAUCUCUGAGUUCAGACUUACCCCAGUACCAAUGUCACAACAUAGUUGGGGUUCGUUGAGCCUAAA